rnacentral:rRNA from 1 species
UACGUAGGGGGCAAGCGUUGUCCGGAAUCAUUGGGCGUAAAGCGCGCGUAGGCGGCUCGAUCAGUCUGCUGUAAAAGUCAAAGGCUCAACCUUUGAAAGCCGGUGGAUACUGUCGAGCUCGAGUCCGGAAGAGGCGAGUGGAAUUCCUGGUGUAGCGGUGGAAUGCGCAGAUAUCAGGAGGAACACCAACGGCGAAGGCAGCUCGCUGGGACGGUACUGACGCUAAGGCGCGAAAGCGUGGGGAGCGAACAGG